GCCCGUACCUUGGGAGCUUCAAGAGUCCAACAACGCCCCGUGAGGUCUGCUGGUCUCCUCCUGUCCACCGAUAAAGCGAGAACACGACAGACAGACAGGCUAACGAACAAACAGGAGAUGGGCGCGUCCUCUUCCGCCGACCACGGAGGCAUCUCGGAGCAACAGCAACGGCAGGAAGAGGAGGAAAACUUAGCUGCCGCCAAUGGCUUCCUCCCCUCCCUUCGCAAUGCCUUCUCCAACCUCUCUCCGCCCUCCUCCUCUUCCCUCCCCCUCGCUUCCCUCCAGGUACUGCUGCUGCCUACCGAUCCACAACCCAUGUGACAACUGACCCUCGAUUCUCCCCUCUUCCCUGGACGUGCAAGUUGUUGUGUCCGAAUCCUCGCCGGUGCCGUAGCACUUCCCUGCCCUGUCGAACAAUCUCGGCGCAACCCUGGUCUCGCUCUUCUUCCCCGCUGCCGAUGAUCGUGCUGACGGUCGUAUUGAUUGGAUUGGCUUCUUGAGCGGCUACAAGCGAUGCUACGGCAGGAUGCCCGUCUCACGAUCCAUCAACGAGCUAUACAGAUUGUACGCCGCCGUGUCCCGCGAAGCCGGAGCGCCUUGCGGCUUGGAGUUCGAUCCCGAUGCUGGCGACGAUGAUAAGGUGGGCGGGUCUCUCUUGCCGGGAGAGGUGCUUAUGCUUUUCUGGAUCUGCUGGGUCAUGGGGCAUUCUUCGAGGAUCGCGAAGAUGUCCAGAAACGCAGAGGAUCCUUUGGUGCUCCCUGACAUGAGCCAUCUGCUAGUGUCAGCUUUGGUUUCGUGCGGUGUGAUCGCGGAGGAAGAUGAGCACAUUUGGAGAUCGGAUGUUUUGGCGGUCGAUAAGGGUGUUUCUGCGCAGAAGUUUCAGACGUGGGUCUUGACGACAGCACCAGGCUCGGCGAAUUGUCUUCCGAAGUAUGUCCAGGAGAGGAUCCAAGCUUGCUCUUCUUCGAAGGUACGUGAAAUAAUUCUCAAUCAUUCCAUGAACUCAGGUAAACAAAGGAGUUGUUUAUCUGCAUGAGUAAGAUGGUUUGUUCCUAACGUACCAAAACUUGCAGCAACUUUGUGAGUGUCAAUUAGGCACAGGCACUGAUGUAGCAUAAGGGCAUUCCUCCAAAGAGAUUUGUUGAGAACUAUUCACAAGAAUUUAAGAAAAAGAAAUUUGCAUGCAUUAAGCUAAUGUCAGGAAUUUGGUUAUGGAAGUGUUAGGGUCUACAUGGGAUAACACUGAUACUGAGUUGAAUUCAUUUAUGAAGAGGAUUUAGGAGACCAGGAGGCAAAAUCAUUAACUGACAACUUGAAAGAAUGCACAAUCAGAACUAUAUAUUAUUUUUCACAAUCUAGUGUAAGUGUUAGUACAUUGUUGGAUGGAAGAAUUGCUUCAAUUGUCAGGUUGCUGUUAAAUAAGCAGUUGCGAAAAUAACUUGUUCCAGCUGUUGAUGCUACCGCUAGUGGGUACAGUGGCAUCUGCAGCAGGUCCCCUGCCUGGCUGCCCAACGUGAUGCGGCGAGAUUGACGUCCCCUACCCUUUUGGUAUAUGUCCUAACUGUUUGAGGGAAGGCUUCUCACUAAAUUGCAGCACAACGGAUGAUGGCCUCGAGAAACUUUUUGUGUUCAACGUCGAGAUCACCGAUAUCUCAUUGCCGCUAGGACAGCCACGCAUGCUCAACGAAAUAUAGUGUCAGUUUUGCAACGUAAGCAACAAUUCCGUGGACUGCAACUUCGUCUCUCGAUUUGGUCGACACACUGUAUAGUUAAUCGGCUGCAGAGACCCGUUGGGCUGAUAGCCUAUGAGUUCAGUUUAUAAUGGGCUUUAACAGCACGUAGCUUAUCUCAAUUUUAACAUAAACCUAAAUCUAAUAAGAAGGUGAGGUGGUUUUGAAAAAGAGACAGAAAAUUAUAGCAAUGGAGAGAGAAAACUAUAGUAACGAUGGCAGAAAACUAUAACAACAACAUGAUUCUAAAAGAGAAAAAAAUGAUAGAAAAAUAAAAGAGGAAAAGAGAAAAAGACGAGGAUAACGUAGAGAGAUUAUUUUCAAUUAUUCAGGUAGUGUUCUCAUCCCAUAUUAGAUCAGAUCUACAGUAAAUUGUUGCUGUGAUUAUUUAAAAAUAUUUUGAAUAUUGUAUACAGUGACAUAAUCCUUGUAUCUCAGUUAUUUUCUUGUGAUUGUUACUUGGGUUUUCGACAAUAGACUUUGAGAUUUGUACAUUCAUUAUUUUUAUAGUGAAUUUUCCAUGGUUUGUCCCGUAGUUUUUACCAUUCACGUUGGAGGGGUUUUUCACAUAAAUCUUGCUGUCCUAUUUUAUUAUGAUUCUAUUUAAUUUUGCUAUAUGUUACGACCUACUUGUAUUUGUUCGUAUAUAAAGUUCUCUUUUUAUCCCAUCAAUUGGUAUCGGAGUAUGGUUUUGAUGAUUUAUUUUUUGUAUUCGAACAUAGAUGUCGGUAAUGUUUCUUGCAUGAUUAGCUUGAAUAGAAAUAAUUGGAUGAUAUGAAAACUAAGAAUGGAAGAUCUCUUGUAUUACAAAGAUUUGUAUGAACCUUUGCAAGGGGAUGGUGCAAAAUCCAUAACUGUGACAGAUGAUGAGUGAAAGAGAUUAUACCAAAAAAUAGUCGGGUUUAUUCGACAAUGGCUCGAUGACAAUAUCUUUCACCAUGUUUCUACUAAAAGUUCUGCAUACUCUCUUUGAAAAAAGUUAAAAAAUCUUUGUGAUAGAAAAAUAAUUGACAACAAAGCUUUCUUGAUCAGAGAACUUGCAAACAUAAAAUAUAAAUAGGGUGCUUUUAUUGCUGAGCAUUUGAAUGAAAUCCAAGUAUUACUAACCAGUUAUCUUAUAUAAAAAUGUCUCUUGAUGAUUAGUUGUAAGCAUUAUUACUUUUCAAUUCUUUACCAGAAAGUUAGGAGACAUUGGUGGUUUCCUAUAGUAAUUCUGCGCUAGAUGGUGUUGUCACCAUGAGUCAAGUAACAAGCAGUUUAUUGAACGAGGAGUUGAGAAGAAAGAAUUCAACAACAUCUUAGAAUAAUUCAAAGGCGCUUAUCUCAAAGAACAAAGGAAGAUUAAAGUCCAAGGAUACAAGCAGUUCACGCAUGGGUAGAACCAAGUCAAGAUCAAGAAAAGAUAUUAUUUGCUAUAACUAUAGUGAGAAAGGACAUUACAAGAACGAAUGCAAGCAACCUAAAAAGAGUAAGAAAAAAGGAAAAAGAAGUGGAGUCUACAGAGUUAAAAAAUAAUACCAUAGCUAUAGUGCAGGACGGUGAUUAUUUGAUUUUGUCUCCUUCUAAUGAUAUUUUUUGUUGUGUGUGUCAGGAUCUCGAGUGAGUGAUUAACAUAGGUACUUCUUAUUAUGCUACACUACGAAGGGAGUUUUUUGCUAUGUGCAAGUAUGAAAAUUUUGGUGUUGUCAAGAUAAGCAACUAUGACACGGUAGACAUUAUUGGCAUGAGUGAUAUCCACAUAAAGACCAACCUUGGCUGCAAGUUAGUGCUGAAGGAUGUGAGACAUGUGAUUGACUUAAGGUUGAAUUUAAUUUUAGUUAGAAGACUAGAUGAUGAAGAUUAUGAUAGCAGAUUUCAUAGAGGACAAUGAAAGCUCAGUAAGGGUUCUCUUAUUGUGGCUAAUGGGAAGAAAUAUUAUACUUUAUAUAAAUUGUAGGCCAAAACUUAUGGUGAGUAGUUAAAUGCUACAGAAAAAGACUUCAGCAUUGAGUUGUGGCAUAAGCAAUUAGGACACAUGAGCAAGAAGGGGUUGCAAGCUCUUUCUAAGAGAGAGGUAUUGUUAGACAUCAGAGGUACACGUUUGAACCCUUAUAUUGAUAGUUUGGCUGGUAAACAACAUAGAGUUUUCUUUGCUAGUCAUGCUUUAUCUAGAAAAAUAUAUGCCUUAGACCAUGUUUACAUAUAUGUAUAUGAUCAUUUGAGGAUAAAAACUCAUGAUGGAUCUAUUAAUGUUCUUGGUAUCAUUGGUGUACUUUAUUUUGCUACUUUUAUAUAUAACUAUUUUAGAAGAGUUUGAGUCGAUGCUAUGAAGAUCAAAUAUCAGGUUAUUAAUGUCAUCAAAGAGUUUCAUGCUAAAGUUAAAAGGGAGAUAAACAAGAUAAUUAAAAUGUAUAAGAUCAAAAUAUGGUGGUGAGUACACUGAAUUGUUUAAUGAUUAUUACAGGUCGCAUGACAUCCACAAUGAGAUGAAAGUUCAUAGUACAUCUCAGCAUAAUGUUGUUGCAGAGAGGAUGAAUUGCAACAUCAUGGAAAAUAUCAGAUGUAUGCUUUCAAAGGCUAAGGUACCCAAAAAGUUUUGGGAUGAAGCUUUGAGGACUGCAAUUGAUGCGAUCAACUUGUCACCUUGUACAACCCUAGAUGAUGAUGUUCCAGAGCAUAUAUGGUUUGAAAAAGAUAUUUUCUACAAGCAUUUGUGAGUGUUUGGUUGUCGUGCAUUUGCACACGUUAUAAACAAUAAGAGGUCUAAGCUAGAUGGUAAGAUAAAAUAAUAUGUUUUUCUUGACUACUCACAUGAUCAGUUUGGUUACAGGUUUUGGGAUCCAGAAAAGCAAAAAUUGAUUUGAAGCAGAGAUGUAAUCUUCUUUGAGGAUCAAACCCUAUAGGAUUUGAAGGAGGCACCAGCCAAGACUUAUGUAGAAGGAUUAGCAUAUUUUGAUCGAAUUACUUCUCCAAUAUAUCAGGGUGAUGGGGGAGAUGUGCAGGAAGAUAGUGGAGAGUCCGAUGUUGAUCUACCUAUAGGACAUGUUGAGCAAGAAGAAGCUAUAGAGCAACUUCCCACGGAACCACAGUUUAGAUAACGUCAACCUUCCAAAAGAUACUCUACAUAUGAGUAUAUGAUGCUUACUAAUGCAGGUAAAUCAGAGAGUUAUCAAAAAGCAGUUGAAAGUGAACAGAAAAAGAAGUAGUUAGUUGCUAUGCAGGAAGAGAUAGAUGUGAAAAACAAGAUACAAAGCUAAAUUGGUUGUGAAAGACUUUGAUUAAAGGAAACAUAUUGACUUUGAAAAUAUUUUUUCUCCUAUUGUUAAAAUGCUUCUAUUCGUGUUGCUUUUGGUAUUGUUGCUAGCCUAGACUUGGAGGUUGAGUUGUUGGAUAUAAAGAUAGCUUUCCUUCUUGGUGAUUUAGAGGAGAAAUUUUAUAUGGAGAAAUUAGAAUGCUUCAAAAUCAAAGGUAAAGAAAAUUUUGUCUACAAUUUGAAAAAGAGCUUGUAUAAGUUGAAGCAAGCUUCAAAUAGUGGUACAGAAAGUUUGAUUCAUUUAUGAUUAAAAAUUGAUAUAAAAGAAUGGCUUCAGAUCAUUGUGUGUACAUCAAAUUGUUUUGUGAGGAUUUUAUUAUUCUCUUGCUUUAUGUUGAUGACAUGUUUAUCUUUAGGAAAUGUAUGUCUAUAAUUGAUAGGUUAAAGAUGAAACUAAGUAAAUCCUUUGCAAUAAAGGACAUGGGGCCUGCAAAGCAAAUACUAGGUAUGCAAAUUUUCCGUGAUAGAAAAAAUAAGAAGAUUUGAUUGUCACAGGAGAAAUACAUCGAGAAUAUAUUAGAAAGGUUCAGUAUGAGCAAUGCAAAGCCAAUUGGUUCUUCUCUUUCAGGUCACUUCAAGUUGUGCUUAGAAUAGAGUCCGUCAAGUGAUGGAGAAGGAGAAUAUGCAAAAUGUUUCUUAUGCUUUAGCAGUUGGAAGUUUAAUGUACACGAUGAUAUGUAUGAGGUCAGACAUUGCAUAUGCAGUAGGUGUUACUAGCAUAUUUCUUGUAAAUCCAAACAAGGAGCACUAGGCAACAGUGAAGUGGAUAUUUAGAUAUCUCAGAAGGAGCUAUAAAGUUCGUUUAAAAUUUGGAGGUGGAUGACCUGUGUUAACAUAUUACACAAAUACAAUUAUGGCAAAAGAUAUAGAUACUAUAAAGUUUGUUUAAGCUUUGGAGGUGGACGAUCUAUGUUGACAUGUUACACAAAUACAGUUAUGGCAAGAGAUAUAGAUACAAGAAAAUCCACAUCAGGUUUUAUACUUAUUUUUGUAGGGGGAGCUAUGUCAUGACAAUCCAAAUUACAAAGGUGUAUUGGUCUCUUCACCACAUAUGCAGAAUAUAUUGUUGCUACAGAGGUUUACAAAGAAAUGUUAUAGAUGAAAGAAUUUUUACAAGAAUUGAAGCUGAAAUAGAAAAACUAUGUGAUACAUUAUGAUAGCCAGAUAGCCAUUUAUUUGUGUAAGAACCCAACUUUUCAUUCCAAGUCAAAGCAUAUAGAUGUUUGGAUUCGAAAUAUACUUCAAGAGAAGUAGUUGCAACUUCAUGUAAUAAGGGGGGUGUAGUGACUAUGAAAAGGAGGCAGAAAACUAUAGCAACAAAGAGAGAAAACUAUAGCAAUAGGGGAAAAAAAUUAUAGCAGUAACUAAUUCAAAAAUAGGAGAAAAUUAUAGAAAAACAAGAGAAGAAAAGGGAAGAAGACAAGGACAAUGCAGAGAACUCUUUUCAAUCAUCCAGGUAGUGUUUUCAUAUCAAGUUAGAUCAGAUCUAUAGUUAAUUAUUACUGUGAUUACUUGAGGAGAUUUUGAAUAUUAUACAAAGUGACGUAAUCCUCAUAUCUCAGUUAUUCUCUUGUGAUUAUUGCUUGGUUUUUGGACAAGAGACUUUGAGAUUUGUAUAUUCAUUGUUUUUAUAAUAAAUUUUCUCUAGUUUACUCCAUGAUUUUUACCCUUUAUGUUGGAGUGAUUUUUUACAUAAAUCUUGAUGUCUUACUUUAUUACGAUUUUAUUUAAUUUUAUUAUGUAUUAUGACUUACUUAUAUUUAUUUAUUUAUCCCAUUAAGACCAUCGUGUUUGUGUGUUGAGUGUUUGUGUCACAACGAGGUAAAUUUGGUCAACAGCUCAUGCUCCGGCAUCGGCUGCUGCCGAGCCUCCUCCAUCCCCAAGGACCUGGCAUUCUAUGAGGUCUGGUUUGAUUCAAAUUUCAGCAGCUCGAGCAUCUGGAACUUCGGUCGCUGCAGCUAUGCCGUAUUGUUGGAGGCAAAUCGGUUUGAGUUCCUAACAUCUUACAUCACGACGGACCGAUUCUUGAACGACAGCAGCAGCAAGGCGCCUUUGGUGGUGGAUUGGUAGAUCGGAAACGAGACAUGCGAGGUAGCACAGCGCAACAUAACAUCCUACGCCUGCAUCAGCGAGCACAGCGAGUGUUUGAACUCUUCCAAUGGUCCUGGGUAUCUUUGUAACUGUUCCGAGUGGUUACCAUGGCAAUCCUUAUGUCGCUCUUGGCUGCCAAGACAUCGACGAAUGGUCUGAUAAAGAUCAAAAUCCUUGCCAUGGCAUCUGCCAGAACCUGCCCGGUAGCUGUGAUGCUUUCAAUGGACCAUGCACCCAACACCAGAAACUUCAAUCAUCAGCGAAGGUGGCUAUAGGUAAGAGUCUUUUUUCCACCAUGACUUUCAUCUUUGUCGAGGAUCUCAUUACACAUUUGAUGCCUAGUAUUACAAAUAAAUUCUUUUGUUCCCUUUCUUUUCAUGAAUUCUAUUUAUUGCUUCAAAUCC